rnacentral:rRNA from 1 species
GACGAACGCUGGCGGCGUGCCUAAUACAUGCAAGUAGAACGCAGUUGCGAACGGGUGAGUAACGCGUAGGUAACUGCCUCAUAGCGGGGGAUAACUAUUGGAAACGAUAGCUAAUACCGCAUACUGUGAGAUGGACCUGCGUUGGAUUAGCUAGUUGGUGAGGUAAAGGCUCACCAAGGCGACGAUACAUAGCCUACCUGUGAGGGUGGUCGGGCACACUGGGACUGGGGCACGGCCCAGAAUCCUACCGGAGGGAGCAGGAGGGAAUCUUCGGAAAUGGACGGAAGUCAGACCGAAGACCGCCGCGUGAGUGGAGAAGGUUUUCGGAUCGUAAAGCUCUGUUGUGAGGGGAGCGGUAACUAACCAGAAAGGGACGGCUAACUACGUGCCAGCAGCCGCGGUAAUUC